rnacentral:rRNA from 1 species
UACAGAGGGGGCAAGCGUUGUUCGGAAUUACUGGGCGUAAAGGGCGCGUAGGCGGCCUUCUAAGUCGAACGUGAAAUCCCCGGGCUCAACCCGGGAACUGCGUCCGAUACUGGAAGGCUUGAAUCCGGGAGAGGGAUGUGGAAUUCCAGGUGUAGCGGUGAAAUGCGUAGAUAUCGAGAGGAACACCGGUGGCGAAGGCGGCCAUCUGGACGGUGACUGACGCUGAGACGCGAAAGCGUGGGGAGCAAACAGG